rnacentral:tRNA from 1 species
CAUUAGGUGACUGAAAGCAAGUAAUGGUCUCUUAAACCAUAUGAUAGUAAUUAACGACUACUCCUAAUG